UGUGCAUUCUACCUAUACAGUG
rnacentral:miRNA from 9 species